AAUCAAUAGCUUAGAUUCAAUGCAGCCCCCACCUUGACAUGGUGGGGGUCGUUGGUUCGAGUCCAAUUGUGCCUACCA
rnacentral:tRNA from 1 species